CUCGCAGUUGGAUCCGCCGGGCUAAAAUUCCGGGGUGGGCGCGCUGCACCCUGGGACAUGUGGUUCUCCGAGGGGCACGGGCGGUUCCUGCGAUCUGGCUUUCCCUGGCGUCUUGCACCAGCCCUCCCUUUGUGGGUUGCAUAGUUCCCAGGAACCUGUCAGCUCUUUAGCCUUUUUCCUGCAAAUACAUUUCCGUGAGUGCCGGCUAGAUGAGGCUCACAUGGCCUCAGGUCCGUGCUGCACGCCAUAAGGAAUAGUAGUCCCUAAAUGCAUACGCUUUUGGAGUUGUCCUCUGCCCUCACCGAGAUUGCAAAACGUUAAAGGCAAAAAUGAAUCGAGCCUUUGACGGCAGUGUGCUGAGAGUUUUCCUUGUAAUCGCUCAUGUACUCUUGGCAACUUUAAUUGCAGCUGAGCUGCCUUUCUGGAAAGUUUCUUCCUUGAUUUCUAUCACCUUGCAUCAUCUGCUUUCCUCUCAGACGGACCAUUCAGGUAAACAACCCCUUCCAUGGAGUGAAUGGAAAGAUAAUGCUUCUCUUUACUUCAGUGUCCCUCCUUCUGCCUGAAAAAGCAAUUAUUCUGGAAGCAUGUGCGUGUCAAUUGGAUUACGUUACCUGGGAGGUGGGCUAAAAACAUCAUCUGGCUAAAAUGUUUGCAGAAAUACCAUCAACCCGCUGCCAUUGUGGAUCGUUAGCUUGCGAUCAACCCAAUGACUUUCCACUUGCAAUCCUUUUAUAUUUAUAAAGAUUCCAUAAACACCGUAUUGUGUCAUUUUAAUACUAACAAUUCAACCUCCCCCCCCCCCCAAAGUAGUAAAAGCCUGUUUUUUCUAAGUUAAAAUUAAAAAGUCCCUAUGUCUUUGAAGGAGAGAGUCUCAUAUAGUAUAAAGAUGGUAAAAAAUAAAAGUCUUGAUCAUAGUUCGCAUGAUAGUGAGGAUGACGCCAACCCUUUCAUUAGUUAUGGUAUAAGCCCAGAGGCUGUGAGAAAGAGAUCCCAAAUACAGUGACUUACACAAGAGAGAAAGUUGUUUCUCUCCCAAUCUCCCAAGUAAUAUUCACAAGCAGGUGGGUGAUUCAGUCCCAAUGAACAAUUCUACUCCACGAAGUCACUCAGGAACUCAGGUUGCUAUUCUAUCCCCUGAUAGGCAUCUCUAUGUUAGAAGGUGGUUCACUAGCACCACAUAAACAUUCUAGCUGCCAUGAAGGGUAGAGAGAUGGAGGAGAGAAAGUAGUUUCCUUCAUAAAGAAUGGACAAGGAAGCUGUAUGCAUCACUUAAUGCUCACAUCUCAUUGGAAAGGAGUUAUUCAGCUUGUUACACCAAGCUGCAAGGAAGGCUGAGAUUUUUUGCCUUUAAUUGGGCAGCCAUGUGCCCAGCUUAAACUCAGAAGAUCCUAUUACUAGAAAGGAGAAGAGGAUAACAAAUAGAGUGCCAAUUUGGCACUUGGCAGUCUGUACCAAACUCCUGUUUGGGUGUUUUUACAGUCAUGAUGAUACUUAUAGUGAAGAUGCAAGUACGAGUUUUUCAGUUUGUUUGUUUUAUGGCCACAUCCAUGGCAUGUGGAAGUAUUCAGGCUAGAGGCUGAAUCCAAGCUGCAGCUACGACCUGUGCCACAACUGUGGCAACACCAGAUCCUUUAAUCCACUGUACUGGGCUAGGGAUCGAACCCACGCCUCCUUAACAACCCAACCCACUGCAGUCAGAUUCUUAACCCACUGUUCCCCUGCAGGAACUCCUGAGUUUUUGAAUUCUUAAAAUGGCUUAAUUCUAGAAAAUCACAUUUUAUUUUUAAUUUUGUUACGUGCAGUUUACCUGUCAAAUCCCUAAGUCAAUAAAUAAUAGGCUCUCCUUGCAGAAGUGUUAUUAUUCCGACAAAGCCUCCGAGAAAUUUUAGUUACAGAGAUAGCCCAGUUUAUGAGCUUUGUGACUUUCUCUAUCGUUUCUCAUCUAUAUAAGAUGCAGAGAUGAGGUGUUACUGGAAAUACUGCAAGGCAGCUUCCCUGGAGAGUACUUAAAUCCCAUGGUGAGAAGAGACACAGCUAGUAAACACUAAAAGCUAUAAUAUCAGUAAUUGCAGUUGCUCCUGGAAUCAAAGGAUAGAAUAAAAGAAUUAAAUAGAGUUAGGAUUAACAUAAAAGGACUAGAGAGCUAGUGCUUACUGUUUCACUUUUGGAGAGGUGGAGCCUGUGGGAAGUUGAUAAGAAAACUUAACAGUUUGUGAAGUUAUUUAAUGUACUUAAUAUUAGGUUUUGGCGAGAAAGCAGGGACGUGAUGAGAGCAGUCACCCAAGGAAGUGUGAAGGAAAACCAGGUAAACAGAAGUGUUUUCCCAUCACGUCCAUUCCUCUCCGAUGCCAGGAAACCUAGAUUUUAGGAACCACUUUUGUGUAUUUAUCAAGUUUUUUUUUUCCUACUCCCAGAAGUCUGAUUCAUGAUUUUGUUAAAAGCAAAUUCUAAAACUGUCUUGUUUGAUAUGGUAGCCAGUGGCUGCAUGUGGCUAUUGAAAUGUGAUUAGGCCGUAAGUGUAAAUAUAUACUGGAUUUCAAAGACUUGUUAUGAAAAAAUAAUGUAGCAUAUCUGAUGAUUCUUUAUAUUGAUUCUAUAUUUAAGUGAUAGUAUUUUAGAUCUAUUGGGUUAAAUAAAAUACAUUAUGAACACUAAUAUUUUUUUGGGGGGGUCACACCCACAGCAUAUGGAGGUUCCCAGGCUAGGGGUCUAAUCGGAGCUGCAGCCAUUGGUCUAUGCCACAGCCACAGCAACACCAGAUCCGAGUCAAGGCUGCGACCUACACCACAGCUCAAGGCAACGCCAGAUCCUUAACCCACUGAGCAAGGCCAGGGAUCGAACCCACAACUCAGGGUUCCUAGUUGGAUUUCUUUCCACUGUGCCCCAACAGGAACUCCAUGAACACUAAUUUGACCUGUUUCACCUUUUUAAUGUGACUAUUAGAACAUUUUAAAUUAUGUUAUGAUUCAUAUCAUAUUUCUAUGGAACAUACUGAUUUAGAAGCUCCAUUAGAAAGAGGAUGGACGAUCUCUUUUUCCAGGCUUGAAUUGACCUCUGGCACAUUGUCUUCAUCCAAAGGUUAUAGAAUUUUAAACCAGCAGCCUCUCCAUCCUGCACUCUCUCAUACCACAAAUCAGGGCAAGGAUGCAGAUCGCGUAGCUCAGGGCCACUGGCCUUGAGUUGAAAAAUGUCUAAUGGUGGAUGUCUUACGAAUCUGCAAGGAGGUCCUUUCCAUUCCGGGGCAAUUCUCACUGUGAGAAACCCUUUCUUUACACUGGGAAGAAUAUUGGCUCUCUGUACUUUCAACUUCUUCUGAGGCUUUCUCCUUUAGCAUAAUUAAAAUAAAUCUAGGCGUUCCCAUCGUGGCUCAAUGGAAACAAAUCUAACUAGUAUCCACAAAGACACAGGUUCAAUCCCUGGUCUUGCUCAG
rnacentral:lncRNA from 1 species